GGCCGCGGGAAUUCGAUUUCUGGUUGAUCCUGCCAGACCCGACUGCUAUCAGAGUGGGACUAAGCCAUGCGAGUCAACGUAGCAAUGCGUGGCGAACGGCUCAGUAACACGUAGUCAACAUGCCCAGGGGACGUGGAUAACCUCGGGAAACUGAGAUUAAACCGGGAUAGGUCAAGAUUUCUGGAAUGGAUCGUGUCUUAAAUCUACAUGGCCCCUGGAUUGGACUGCGGCCGAUCAGGCUGUUGGUGAGGUAAUGGCCCACCAAACCUAUAACCGGUACGGGCUCUGAGAGGAGAAGCCCGGAGAUGGGCACUGAGACAAGGGCCCAGGCCCUAUGGGGCGCAGCAGGCGCGAAACCUCUGCAAUGGGCGAAAGCCUGACAGGGUUACUCUGAGUGAUUUCCGCUAAGGAGAUCUUUUGGCAGCUCUAAAAAUGGUGCAGAAUAAGGGGUGGGCAAGUCUGGUGUCAGCCGCCGCGGUAAUACCAGCACCCCGAGUGGUCGGGACGAUUAUUGGGCCUAAAGCAUCCGUAGCCGGUUGUGCAAGUCCUCCGUUAAAUCCAGCCGCUCAACGGAUGGGCUGCGGAGGAUACUACAGGACUAGGAGGCGGGAGAGGCAAGCGGUACUUAGUGGGUAGGGGUAAAAUCCUUUGAUCCAUUGAAGACCACCAGUGGCGUAGGCGGCUUGCCAGAACGCGCUCGACGGUGAGGGAUGAUAGCUGGGGGAGCAAACCGGAUUAGAUGCCCGGGUAGUCCCAGCUGUAAACGAUGCAGACUCGGUGAUGGGCUAGCCUCGUGUCAGCCCAGUGCCGCAGGGAAGCCGUUAAGUCUGCCGCCUGGGGAGUACGGUCGCAAGACUGAAACUUAAAGGAAUUGGCGGGGGAGCACCACAAGGGGUGAAGCCUGCGGUUCAAUUGGAUUCAACGCCGGAAAUCACUAGUGAAUUC
rnacentral:rRNA from 1 species